rnacentral:rRNA from 1 species
AACGAAACUUCUUUAUCACCGAGUGCUUGCACUCACCAAUAAAGAGUUGAAUGGCGAACGGGUGAGUAACACGUGGGCAACCUGCCCAAAAGAGGGGGAUAACACUUCCAAACAGGUGCUAAUACCGCAUAACCAUAGUUACCGCAUGGUAACUAUGUAAAAGGUGGCUAUGCUACCGCUUUUGGAUGGGCCCGCGGCGCAUUAGCUAGUUGGUGGGGUAAAGGCUUACCAAGGCAAUGAUGCGUAGCCGAACUGAGAGGUUGAUCGGCCACAUUGGGACUGAGACACGGCCCAAACUCCUACGGGAGGCAGCAGUAGGGAAUCUUCCACAAUGGGCGAAAGCCCGAUGGAGCAACGCCGCGUGGGUGAAGAAGGUCUUCGGAUCGUAUUUUUCUGUUGUUACAGAAGAAAGUGCGUGAGAGUAACUGUUCACGUUUCGACGGUAUCUAACCAGAAAGCCACGGCUAACUACGUGCCAGCAGCCGCGGUAAUACGUAGGUGGCAAGCGUUAUCCGGAUUUAUUGGGCGUAAAGGGAACGCAGGCGGUCUUUUAAGUCUGAUGUGAAAGCCUUCGGCUUAACCGGAGUAGUGCAUUGGAAACUGGGAGACUUGAGUGCAGAAGAGGAGCGUGGAACUCCAUGUGUAGCGGUGAAAUGCGUAGAUCUUUGGGGGAACACCAGUGGCGAAAGCGGCUCUCUGGUCUGUAACUGCCGCUGCGGUUCGAAAGCGUGGGUAGCAAACAGGAUUAGAUACCCUGGUAGUCCACGCCGUAAACGAUGAAUGCUAAGUGUUGGAGGGUUUCCGCCCUUCAGUGCUGCAGCUAACGCAAUAAGCAUUCCGCCUGGGGAGUACGACCGCAAGGUUGAAACUCAAAGGAAUUGACGGGGGCCCGCACAAGCGGUGGAGCAUGUGGUUUAAUUCGAAGCAACGCGAAGAACCUUACCAGGUCUUGACAUCUUUUGCCAAUCCUAGAGAUAGGACUUUCCCUUCGGGGACAAAAUGACAGGUGGUGCAUGGUUGUCGUCAGCUCGUGUCGUGAGAUGUUGGGUUAAGUCCCGCAACGAGCGCAACCCUUAUUGUUAGUUGCCAGCAUUAAGUUGGGCACUCUAGCAAGACUGCCGGUGACAAACCGGAGGAAGGUGGGGAUGACGUCAAAUCAUCAUGCCCCUUAUGACCUGGGCUACACACGUGCUACAAUGGACGGUACAACGAGUCGCAAGACCGCGAGGUUUAGCAAAUCUCUUAAAGCCGUUCUCAGUUCGGAUUGUAGGCUGCAACUCGCCUACAUGAAGUCGGAAUCGCUAGUAAUCG